AAUAGAUACCCUGGUAGUCCACGCCGUAAACGAUGUCAACUAGCCGUUGGAAUCCUUGGGAUUUUAGUGGCGCAGCUAACGCAUUAAGUUGACCGCCUGGGGAGUACGGCCGCAAGGUUAAAACUCAAAUGAAUUGACGGGGGCCCGCACAAGCGGUGGAGCAUGUGGUUUUAAUUCGAAGCAGCGCGAAGAACCUUACCAGGCCUUGACAUGCAGAGAACUUUCCAGAGAUGGAUUGGUGCCUUCGGGAACUCUGACACAGGUGCUGCAUGGCUGUCGUCAGCUCGUGUCGUGAGAUGUUGGGUUAAGUCCCGUAACGAGCGCAACCCUUGUCCUUAGUUACCAGCACGUUAUGGUGGGCACUCUAAGGAGACUGCCGGUGACAAACCGGAGGAAGGUGGGGAUGACGUCAAGUCAUCAUGGCCCGUUACGGCCUGGGCUACACACGUGCUACAAUGGUCGGUACAGAGGGUUGCCAAGCCGCGGNGGUGAGACUACCUCAACGAAACGAGUCGUCGUCG
rnacentral:rRNA from 1 species